rnacentral:rRNA from 1 species
CCUACGGGGUGCAGCAGUCGAGAAUUAUUCACAAUGGGGGAAACCCUGAUGGUGCGACGCCGCGUGGGGGAAUGAAGGUCUUCGGAUUGUAAACCCCUGUCAUGUGGGAGCAAAUUAAAAAGAUAGUACCACAAGAGGAAGAGACGGCUAACUCUGUGCCAGCAGCCGCGGUAAUACAGAGGUCUCAAGCGUUGUUCGGAAUCACUGGGCGUAACGCGUGCGUAGGCUGUUUCGUAAGUCGUGUGUGAAAGGCGCGGGCUCAACCCGCGGACGGCACAUGAUACUGCGAGACUAGAGUAAUGGAGGGGGAACCGGAAUUCUCGGUGUAGCAGUGAAAUGCGUAGAUAUCGAGAGGAACACUCGUGGCGAAGGCGGGUUCCUGGACAUUAACUGACGCUGAGGCACGAAGGCCAGGGGAGCGAAAGGGAUUAGAUACCCCGGUAGUC